rnacentral:lncRNA from 1 species
CUGUCCUUUCUUUUAAUUUUUUUCACAAAGGAACUUCAAACUUCUCUGGUGGCUUAGGUGGCACCUUCCCUCUUGCAUGGUCUGCCAACUCUCGCCAACUCCUCCUAUGUAUCAAUGUCUGGGAAGCAACUGCUCCUGCUCCUCACCAUGUGAUGUGCAACAUGGGUGUUCAGACACUGGAAUUUUGGCAGACCAGGAGGUUUGCUUUUUUCCUGGAGAUUUCCACCCUGGACUUUUCCUUUGACUUAUGUUCUUACAGGUACCUCAUCUCUACUCACUGAAAUGACAUCUGUGGCCUAAGGCAAGAAUAUAAAUGAAAUCUAGAAGUAUUAUCCAUCACAGGAGCUGGAAGUAGUAUUACAGGAAGAAUUAGAGGAGAUGGCUUUCAUGGAUUAAAGGACCCAAUGAUGUUACACAUGGUGAGCUAACACGACGCUUGUUUCUCCAAAACUACUGGCCUACGGAACUGCACAAUGCCCACUGUGGAAGAAGAGCUGGAAGUUUACCAACCUCAGUGUCCAUCCAACUCAGCCAGAUCACCUGGAAUAUUGGGGUCUAUGACCUCCAGGGACCACCAGAGAGACUCCCAGAAUAGAGGAAUCUUUUUGGCAACAGAAAAGCUGGAAGCCAAGAAUAACUUUUAUUUGGCUUGUUCAUAAAAUGUUUGUACCUUGGAAAUGGGCUGAUAAUUUUAUGAAAUCUUCAAAGUAGGAUGCUGAAGUUAUCAGCUGUUAAAGUUUAUGCAAAUAUUUCGCAUGUUUCAGGUGGCUUAGCAUACUUUUUUCCUCCUGUCUAUAAGUCAUAUAUAUAUAUAUAUAUAUAUAUAUAAAUAUUUAGUAAGUGUAGUCCUAAUAUGUGCUGAGGAACUUCAGCAGCAGUUGGUCAUUAAUUAGUAACCACUCAAAAAACACAUUCAGAUUGUUUCUGACAGUCAUUUUCCUAUACAUUUUCCAAGACAUUUUAAUAAUUGUCAUUCUCUCCCAUUUAAAUAAUAAUGUACCAUGCACUGUCAUAUCAAAUAUAUUAUAGAAGUUCAAAUAAAUAACAUCUCUGUAAUGCCUAGUCUCUAAAU